rnacentral:rRNA from 1 species
UACGGAGGGUGCAAGCGUUGUCCGGAUUUAUUGGGUUUAAAGGGUGCGUAGGCGGCCCGAUAAGUCAGUGGUGAAAGCCUCCAGCUCAACUGGAGAACUGCCAUUGAUACUGUCGGGCUUGAGUACAGACGAGGUUGGCGGAAUUGAUUGUGUAGCGGUGAAAUGCAUAGAUACAAUCAAGAACUCCGAUUGCGUAGGCAGCUAACUAGGCUGUAACUGACGCUGAGGCACGAAAGCGUGGGGAGCAAACAGG